ACGAACGCUGGCGGCGUGCUUAACACAUGCAAGUCGAACGGUGAAGCGCCUUCCUUUUUGGUGGGUGUGGAUGAGUGGCGAACGGGUGAGUAACACGUGAGUAACCUGCCCCCUUCUUCUGGAUAACCGCAUGAAAGUGUGGCUAAUACGGGAUAUUCUGGGUCUGUCGCAUGAUGGGUCUGGGAAAGAUAUUGUUUCGGUGGGGGAUGGGCUCGCGGCCUAUCAGCUUGUUGGUGGGGUGAUGGCCUACCAAGGCGGUGACGGGUAGCCGGCCUGAGAGGGUGGACGGUCACACUGGGACUGAGACACGGCCCAGACUCCUACGGGAGGCAGCAGUGGGGAAUAUUGCACAAUGGGCGCAAGCCUGAUGCAGCGACGCCGCGUGAGGGAUGGAGGCCUUCGGGUUGUGAGCCUCUUUCGCCAGUGAAGCAGGCCUGCCUCGUUUGUGGGUGGGUUGACGGUAGCUGGAGAAGAAGCGCCGGCUAACUACGUG
rnacentral:rRNA from 1 species